rnacentral:rRNA from 1 species
GACGGAGGGGGCUAGCGUUGUUCGGAAUUACUGGGCGUAAAGCGCACGUAGGCGGUUAUUCAAGUCAGAGGUGAAAGCCCAGUGCUCAACACUGGAACUGCCUUUGAAACUAGAUAGCUUGAAUCCAGGAGAGGUGAGUGGAAUUCCGAGUGUAGAGGUGAAAUUCGUAGAUAUUCGCAAGAACACCAGUGGCGAAGGCGGCUCACUGGCCCGUAACUGACGCUGAGGCACGAAAGCGUGGGGAGCAAACAGG